CUUAAUUUGAAGACUUAACAUUUUGACAAUUGCAUGAGGAUUCAUCUUCAGUUCUUAGAAGACAGGCCAGAGGAAAACAAACAUGUCAACUUAGAUAAAUAUCACCGAUCAUUUGGAUCCAGGCAAUAAAAAUUAUGAACACGCUAUAAUCUCGGUGGCAUUCAGCAGCCUUUUCUUUACAUCAUUUUGCAAUGUCAGAGAUUACAUGCGGAAUUAGCAACAGAAAAUCUAAAUGCAUGAUGGCUAGGAAAUGCCACCUUGGAAAAGCACCUCCUUCUUUAGCAAUUGCAAGAUAAAACAUAAGAGAGAAUAAGCAUUAUAUACAUAAGCCCAUUAUUGCACCAUUCCUAAUCUUGUUGCUGUGAGCUCGACCAUGGGGUAGAUGCCACAUUUGAAAUGCAGAUCUCAACAUGUAACACCUCAUGAAUGGCACCACGGCGAAGGACACCCAAAACCUCCUCCCCCUUGUUUGUUAGAAGAUCUGCCAAAGAUACCAUACGAGAAUGAGAUUCAUCUCUCAUGCGGAAGCCAUAAAACCAUCUGCCAAGCUUCCACCAUUUCACACAAACUUGUCGUUCUGAGAUUUUGCAACUCAGGAGUGCAUCCAUGACAUGCCUAACCUGCCCAUUAUUACAUCCAAAUAUCAAACAAGGAACAGCACAUAAUAGGAAAAAGCCCUGGAACAUCUAAAGGUAAAUCUAUAAAGAUAAUGGAGCAUGGGCUGCCACUUUUAGAUUAAUGCACAUGAGUUCCACAUCUCUAGAUGAGCAAUUGAGCAUGCACACUAUUUUCUCCAUAUGCAAAUCAGGCAGUCAUGUUUCUGCUGUGGACGUUGAUUAGUGCUCCAAUUGGAGGUCAUUCUUCUUUGAGUUUCUUAGGCCAAAUUUCUAACACAGCAGCACAAUACUUGCUGAUUUUAAACAAUAGCCUAGAAGACCUGAGCUAGCUGUUGCUUGAAGGUGGACUGGUUAAGAAGCUUGGGAUUAAGUACUUGAGUGAUUUCUCCAGCUGGUGAAUCAAAUUGAUCAAACCCAUGUUCAAGCUAGGCCUGAAGUGCAAAUAUUUACUACCUUAAACUCAAAGAUCCAGAAACUUAGGCUACUCACAGCAAUAUCAAUUUCUCCUCAAAGUUGAUAUAAAGGCAUACAAAAUAUCAAGGGUUUUACACAAAUGGCGUAUUAGUCACAUUUCAUAGCAUGAGGACCUGAAGAAAUGUUCACUGAUAAAAGGAUUGCCAAUCAAAGAAUUAAAAGAUGCUAACCUCAUCCAUCUAAACAAAAGUAAUCAACACCGUGAAACAAACAAAAAAAGUGCAAGAGCAGUUUACCUGCACUUGAAGGCAGAAAAUGCAGUAGUGCAAACCAAUCAAGUUAAGCAGCACAUUCAGCUUUGGUUUGAAAAGAAACAUUUGGACAUCCCUAAAUGCAAGCUGCUUCGAACACAAUUCUUCAACUGCUUUGUAAUAGUCCCCAAACGCGAGCGACUUAUUAGAUGAAGAGCAAUGCUCCACAAACUCAACCACAGCAGUAGCGUUACCCGCCAUCUCUCUAUGCAUCCUUAUGUAAAUCUGCCUCCAUCCCUUGAUGAUGAUAGGAUCCGAAGAAGAAGAAGAAGAAUUGUUGGGAAAAGUAACCAAAGGCCAUCUUUCUCUGGUAAGAGACUCCCAUAAGCAAUCCAACCCGCAUAGCUCCCUCCAAAAUCGAGAACAACUACCCAAUGCACACACAUCCAAUACCUCAAGAGUGGAAGCGAUUUUCAGGGCAAUUUCGAGGGGAAGGGAGCUCUGUAUAUUACUUGAUAUUUGUUUCAUUUCUUGCUCUUCGUGGAAGAAUUGUUUGGCUUUCAAUAAUCGAGUUCUGGAGUUUACAUAUGAUCGAUAAUAGAAUGAUUUUAUUUUCUGUUGGAUUUCCUCCUGAUUCUUGAAUUGGGGUCAAACUCUCAAGAGUCAAA
rnacentral:misc_RNA from 1 species